GUGGAUGACUGCGUCGCUGCUU
rnacentral:siRNA from 1 species